AACCCAUUACGAAUUACGAGAGGGCGCGAGAGAGAGGGGAUGGCUUCGGUAUGCAGAUCACCGUUAAUGUCUGGUGCGCGAAAAAUUGCAGCUCAAACGAAGCUAACUUCAAGAACCCUAAACCCUAAAUGUGUGCCCAUUUCUCCAUUUUCAUCAUCUACAACAGCAGUCCCUCGUGCAGCUUCAAGGAUUGUUGGAGCAUUGGGAAUGGUGGAGUCCAUGAUGCCUCUUCACAGCGCAAUUGCAUCUGCUCGUCUCAAGUCGAGUCUUGCUGUUAAUUCCACCUACUGGAGCUGGCUUUCACAAGGUCCCCCUUUUGUAACAGGUGUUAAGUUAAAGGGGGGUCUAUUUCAUUGAUUGAUGCAAUUGACCAAGAAUCUGUCCUUUGCCGAAAGCUCAUAGGGUAAAAAGUAAAAUUGCACCAUCUCUGUAAUAGGUCUUGGAACAUCAUUGUGACAAGGUUUGCAAGGAUGAGCAUAUGGAAGUUUGCUUCAAGUUAUGAAUAUUAAACCUUUGAUCUUGCAGCUUGUACCAAAUCUGCUUUAAGUGGUACCUCCCUUUUUUGUAUUUUUAUUGCAAGAUUUGCCCGUUGUCCUUUACUUUGGGGUAGAAAAAGGUCUGCAUACAUCUCACUCUCAGGCCCUACUGACUCUGGGUCGAUAUGCUUUGCUCAUAAAAGUCUUUUAUGCUAUGAAACAUCAUUCUCCCCAAUAAGCGUUGUUGGUUUUGUAAAGCAAGUCGAGUUAUUUACGUUUGAUUUGAAAAUUUUCCUUGUUUAUUUGAUGCAAAUAUGAGGAAUACUAUGAUCCUUGUGUUUUAGUUUGAAUUUGAAAUCAUGUAGCGAUCCUUCUGUUUAAACUCGUAGAGGGACUCGAGCGUGAUUUUUGGCUUGUUAUGUCGAUGAAUGGGCUGUAUUUUUCU